rnacentral:lncRNA from 1 species
CUACGCCAUCGCUGACGGCUGGGGUGAACUUAUAAUGGUUGAGUGGAGCGCUCGGAAAUAGUUGGUCUUCAGUCUCGUCAGGGCCUCUGCUCACGAACGAAAGAGCUCAUUCAGAGCACAUCAAUAACCAGAACAUAGUGCAUAGUGUUGCAAUUCAACACAGGACUCCUAGACAAGCGACUCAAAGUUUCUGGGCGCUGGAGCUUGCCCGCUAGCUGCUGAAAUCCGCGGACACCACGUUCACACCUAAUUCUCACGAACCCGCAGAAAGGGAGUAUUGAAUUGAGAGUCCAAGCAACCUCAAGCCUCUGAAUACCCAUGGGAGAAGCAACGGGAAUUAAAUGAAGGCACGAGAGUGGGGGGUCAUCUGCGUUUACGUACAGUUAAAAUCUAAAUCAGGAGCUUCUUCGAUGACAUUCAACUGACUUACUCUUCCGAAGGAACGGCUAAAACCGGACUGGAGCGGGCGUGCUAGCUGAGGAGGGAGCUUGUUUCUGUCCUAACUGGAAAAGAUGACUCUGAAGAGGUCUCUGACUCUUCAGGUCAUUACCAAGCCACUAGAAACGACAUGCUGGAAGACUGUAAUAGUUCUGGGAAAAUGCUUGUGACAUAAUGUUCACUGACAAAAGUAGGAGGCAAUAAGCGUGACUUAAUCUACGCAAAAUUUUUGCAGGUAAAAUCCUGCGGUGAACUCAUAAUGGAUGCGUGGAGCGCUGAGAAGCAGUUGGUCUUCACAGUCUCGUGCAGGUCUCUCCUCAUGAGUGAAAGAGCUCUUUCAGAACACAACAAGAACCAGAAUAUUGCACUUAGUGUUGCAAUUCAAUACAGGACUCCUAGACAAGCGACUCAAAGUUCCUGGGCGCUGGAGCUUGCCCACUAGCCACUGAUAUCCGCGGACAUCACGUUCACACCUAAUUCUCACGAACCCGCAGAAAAGGAGUAUUGAAUUGAGAGUCCAAGCAACCUCAAGUCUGUAAAUGCCAAUGGGAGAAGCAACGGGAAAUAAGGGAACGCAUGAGAGUGGGGAGUCAUCUGCAUUUAAGCACAAUUAAUAUCUAAAUCAGGAGCCUCUUCGAUGGCGUUCAACUGACUUGCUCUUCCAAAAGAACGGCUAAAACUGGACUGGCGCGGGCUUGCGAGACAUUCCGGCUCUGUCGCCCAGGCUGGAGGGCAGUGACGCGAUCUCGGCUCGCUGCAAGCUCCGCCUCCCGGGUUCUGGCCAUUCUCCUGCCUCAACCUCCCGAGUAGCUGGGACUACAGGCGCCCGCCAGCACGCCUGGCUAAUUUUUUGUAUUUUUAGUAGAGACGGGGUUUCACCGUGUUAGCCCACCGUGUUAGGAUGGUCUCGAUUUCCUGACCUCGUGAUCCGCCCGCCUCGGCCUUCCAAAGUGUUGGGAUUACAGGCGUGAGCCACCGAACCCGGCCUUUUUUUUUUUUUUUUUUAAUUUUUACCUUAUAUAUUUUAGGAGUUCCUAAAUUUUACCUCGUACAGUUUAGGAGCUUAUUUUUUCCCUGUAUCUUUUUGUUUUCCAAAGCAACAAGAAAUUCUAAACAAAAUGCUGCUUAUGAAAUAUUUAUAAAUCGGCAAUGGCAAGUAUCACCUUCAAGUGGCACAACAAACAAGAUAACACUCAGUGAAAAAAUCUGGGCUUAAAUUACACAGAAUUCAGAAUACUCAUAAAGUGUUAAGAAAAAGAGCAUUACUUUGCUUUUGUCUCCCUCUUGCUUCUUUUCUCAACAAGAAAGGAAAAAUAUCCUAAAUUGAGGGCUUCCUCUGAGUGGAGGUCUCACAGUAAGGGUUGAAAAGGAAUUUAAUCAUCCCUUAACCAGCCAGGUUUUAUUUUAUUCCCUUCUGCUGGACCUAUAUAUGUGUCAUUCUAAUGUCCCAAAGGGUAAUGCGAGGAACCAGCACUCAUAAGCUCCCUCAGAAAAGAGAGAGAAACUCAAAGAACUGGUUUGACUAGGAUCUCAGCUUUGGGUGUGUAAUUUUGGCCUCCUAAUUUACAAGGCUGAGAUUAAUGAAUCAUAUGGCCACAAUUCAAAGGUUUUUUUUUAAUUCAAUUUUUUUUUUUUUUUUGAGAUGGAGUCUUGCUCUGUCGCCCAGGCUGGAGUGCAGUGGCACAAUCUCUGCUCACUGCAACCUCCAGCCUCCAGCCUCUUGGGUUCAAGUGAUUCUCCUGUGUCAGCCUCCCAAGUAGCUGGGAUUACAGAUGUGUGCCACCACGCCUGGCUAAUUUUUGUAUUUUUAGUAGAGACGGAGUUUCGCCAUGUUGGCCAGGCUGGUCUUGAACUCCUGACCUCAUGUGAUCCACCUGCCUCGGCCUAACCAAAGUGCUGGGAUUAUAGGGGUGAACCACUGCAGCCAGCCUCAAAGGUAAUAUUUUUAAAGCAGCUUCAUGUUUAAGAUCAUGUUUGGUGAUUUUGAACCUUUUAGUUAAAUUCAAUUAUUUGACAUGGAAGGAAAUUCAAAAGGCAGGUGAUUCCCUGCUCAGCAUCCAUGGUCUUCCACAGUUUUUGUGAACUCCUUGAUAAUGAUUUCUCCAAUUGUUUUGUAUCAGGGGGCAUGUAAAGUGAGAGAGUUCAUACCUUUUUUCCUAUUUGGCUUGGACUUUUUAUUUUUCUUUUUAAAGAGACGGGAGUCUCUCUAUUUUGCCCAGGCUGGCCUCCAACUCCUGAGCUCAAGUGAUCUUCUUGCCUCAGCCUCCCAAGAAGCUGGAACUAUAGAGACAUGUAGUACCUUAUCUGGCUGUGCCUUGGAAUUUUUAAGAAUUUAAAAAUCUCUUUCCCAAUAACUUCAUGACCAUGAAGUGGAAGAGAGAAUUGCCAACUGCUUUUUGUUGUUUUGGGAAAUGCAUAAAAUACAUAUAUGAGAGAUGUCUCUAAUUGUUACAAAAUUCUCUGAGACAGGCCAAGCAUCUGUUUCCCCAGUGGCAAAGCUAUACUCACUACUAUACCAAGGUGAAAAGGGUUAUUGGAAAUUGCUGUGCUCAGUGCCAUGGUCCAAGUAUAUUUCUGAUAUUCACAGACCAAUGCAGGCACAUGCAUACCUAAAGCAUAUGACUUUCCAGGCUUUAUCUGAGCCAUGCUGCUAAUUUCGUUGCUAAACUUAAUCUUUCCCUUUUCUUUCAUGUUGUGGCCCUCCAGAAUUAAUCAUUCUCCUUUAAUGAUCAAGGCCCACAAGCAUAAAUCUUGUACCCGAGAAAUGGUAGACUCACACUUUUCCCCAAUCAAACUUUCUAAUGCUCAUCCACCUGGAAAUUGCAGUUUUCAUUUUUAUUUGUGUAUUCCACCCUCUUUGUGCCAUUAUGCUGCUGGCCACAAGCAGUUUCCUUAAACUCUCCCUGUGUGGGCUUGUUUAUAUUUGUAGAAUAUUCCUCCUAAUAGACACCAAUCACCAUAAGGUCAGCAACUGUGCUUGUGUUUUGUUUACCUUUGUGUCUAUAGCACUAAGCACAACACCUGGCCCACCACAAAAAUUUAAUAUUUUCUACUGUGUGUGUUUGUGUGUGUGUGUGUGUGUGUGUGUGUGAGACAGAGUUUCGCCUUGUCGCCCAGACUGGAGUGCAACGGCGUGAUCUGGGCUCACUGCAACCUCCGUCUCCUGAGUUCAAGCAAUUCUCCUGCCUCAGCUUCCCAAGUAGCUGGGAUUACAGGCGCCCGCCAACACGCCUGGCUAAUUUUUUAUAUUUUUAGUAGAGACGGGAGUUUCACCAUGUCGGCCAGGCUGCUCUUGAACUUCUGACCUCAGGUGAUCCACCCGUCUUGGCCUCCCAAAGUGCUGGGAUUACAUGCAUGAGCCACUGCGUCCCGCCUGUUUUCUACUAUUUAUAGAAAGAAUGACCUUCUCAGAGCUCCUAAUUGAAUGUUUAGUUCACAGUAAGAACCUAGUUUAGUAUAUUGCCUUACUUGAAUCUGCUGAUUGUUUUAGUCCAAAUUCUUACUCAUCUCAUUCUUUGUCCUCCUUCUAAGUUAUAUUCUCUGUUAGAACAGCUCUAAGCCAGUCAAGUGGCUGCCCACAGGGCCACUAGCUAUUACUAGGUCUGAGGAGGCAGUUCAAUUACUGAAGGAGAGAAAAUUGUAUUCCUCAUGUUGCAAUUUUAAAUUUCUCUAGUUUUUAAAUUUCUAUUGGAGAAAUUCUUUUCCUUCUCUACAUUCUUGGUCUGUAUUUAUGUAGAAUAAUGUUUCCUUGAUUUGCUAGAUCAAACCUAUUUAUAUAUUGAUUGCAGAGAGUCCAGAGCCUAUCCUGUGUAGAAGGUGAUGGUUGUAAGCAUGUCAGAAUUAAAUUUAAAAUUCACUGUAACCUAAAACUAAUGUUAAAAUUGAUCUUUAUAUGUUUUUCUCUUUGAGUCUGUGGGUAAGAAUGAUUAAACUCCUUUGUUUAAUAUCAGCUUUUUAAAAAAUCCCACUUACCAGAACGUCUUCUUUCUACUGUCUCCCUCCAAGUGGGCAAGUGGGCCAAGGUGCUCUGAAGGGAUGUAUGGACUCUCCCUGGGGUGUGGGGGUGAAGGUCAAGAAGUGGGGUAGGGGAGGGAAGACAGUGACAUUUUCUUCUGUUAAACCGGUGACCACUAUCCAUCGAAUCACAGAAUACAAAUUUCUUUUUGCAGCAUAGGUUUUUUUCCAAACAGUCACAGACAGUUGAACACUUGGAAAUGCCUCCUUUAACAGUUGAAAAUUUACAAUGCAAUAAAAUCGUCUUUGCAUCAUGGCUAUGGCAUACACUGGAGUCCAGCUGGGUAGGGUCAAAUUCUGAGACCUGUGAUUCUUUACUCUAGUAAAAGCCAUUUGCUUCUCCCCACUGCCCUUUAGGGUAACAAUCUGGGAUGGCUACUCUCUCCUACCUUUCCUUUGCCAUUGAUGGUACAAUAAUGAUCAGUUCUUGGUAUAUCUUCUAUUCUUCUUGGUACCAAGGAAAUUUUUUUUUUGCAGCAGAGCUUGGAAGGACCCUGUAGGAGCUGCCUAGCAGUUCGGAUCACAGAACACUGUUCCCAAGGCUCUUCGUGCAAGAUCCAAGAGCAAAUCUGUUUCCAGGGGCAGAUAAGGUAAGUCCGUGCCUCCCCUGGACUCUUAGCAACAGCCUGCGGGGCUCCCCAGCCUCGGUUCUGCGGCCCUAAGCCGGGCUGCCCCGAUACAGGGGGAGAGGGCACCAACCUAGCCGCGCUGACAGAUUGCGUUGUUGGAAGAACCGCGAGGCUCGCCGCCUCCCGAGCGUUUGUCCGGCGUUCUUUGCUCCUAACGCUAGGAACACUUUUGAAAGUUCCAUUUCGUAACGUAUAAAUUAUGGAUGACUUAAAUUGAGGCGGCGUGUCAACUAGUCCUGGCACCCGUGGCGUUGCCGAGGGUAAAAAACAAAAAACAGGACACCAAAAGAUGCUUUCUGCUUCCCGGGAAGGCUCCACCUCGUGGAUACCAAAGAGUAAAGCACUGUUAAAAGCUCGAAUAUUUGCAAGGCAGGAUUUUGUAAUUAGUUUCUCACUGAUAAAGCUUUAACUUGGUCUUUCUCAAUGGGAUUAACUGAGAACCUCUCCCAAAAUAUUCAGCAGUAAAAAUUUACUGAUACCAAGACCCGGACAUGACUUGUCUAGGAGUGUUCAUUGCAGGAGAUAAAAGCGAUCUUAUGUUGUCAAACAGAAAGGCUGAGGAAGGAGGCAGAGGGUCUUUAAGAGUAAAUAAUCUCAGGUGAUAGGAUCUGAACCUUCCCAACAAGAUCACAUGAGAGGUAUCGGCAUCUGCCAAAAUUACUUUAUUGCUUAGAGACGUCUAGUGUCAUGGACAAAAAUCCUUCCUGCUUCAAUGAGGCGGCACUGUCACUACCAGGUUAAAAUGGGUCCCGCCCGUAGGGCCGUGGGCUCUGCGGCAGGAGCUGCAAUGGCCGCUGUACAGUGGCAAAGAGAAUAUCCGUACAUAUCUCAUCCAGUCCAUCUUCUCCCAGCCCUAUGACUUUCUGAUCCACUCACUACCAGAAAGCAAGACAGAAUGAAACCCUCUUACCAAACGGGAUAACUAAAGGUGGUUUCCAGGAGCCUCGGGAACAAGAAGCAUGAGGAUCCUAAGCAUUUUCAAUAAAAAUCUAGCCCACUGGAGGCUUUUGAAAAACUGAAGGUCCAUGUAACAAAUUUAAGAUGAGCAUUUCUAAGGGCUAGGGCUUGUACCAAGUUCUGUGCUCUCUGAAAAAAAAAAUUAAAAAUAUAUGCCUGUAAUGGUCAAAGCUGAAACAAUUUGAGAAACAAUAAAUAGAAGACUUCAAACCAAUCCCUAC